rnacentral:rRNA from 1 species
UACGUAGGGUGCAAGCGUUGUCCGGAAUUAUUGGGCGUAAAGAGCUUGUAGGCGGUUUGUCGCGUCUGCUGUGAAAUUUCGGGGCUCAACCCCGAACUUGCAGUGGGUACGGGCAGACUAGAGUGUGGUAGGGGAGACUGGAAUUCCUGGUGUAGCGGUGAAAUGCGUAGAUAUCGUAAGGAAGACCAGUGGCGAAGGCGAGUCUCUGGACAGCAACUGACGCUGAGGCACGAAGGCCAGGGGAGCAAACGGG